GGAUCUCUUGGUUCUGGCAUCGAUGAAGAACGCAGCGAAAUGCGAUAAGUAAUGUGAAUUGCAGAAUUCAGUGAAUCAUCGAAUCUUUGAACGCACAUUGCGCCCCCUGGUAUUCCGGGGGGCAUGCCUGUUCGAGCGUCAUUUCACCACUCAAGC
rnacentral:rRNA from 3 species